AUGAACGCUGGCGGCGUGCCUAAUACAUGCAAGUCGAGCGAACAGACGAGGAGCUUGCUCCUCUGACGUUAGCGGCGGACGGGUGAGUAACACGUGGAUAACCUACCUAUAAGACUGGGAUAACUUCGGGAAACCGGAGCUAAUACCGGAUAAUAUAUUGAACCGCAUGGUUCAAUAGUGAAAGACGGUUUUGCUGUCACUUAUAGAUGGAUCCGCGCCGCAUUAGCUAGUUGGUAAGGUAACGGCUUACCAAGGCAACGAUGCGUAGCCGACCUGAGAGGGUGAUCGGCCACACUGGAACUGAGACACGGUCCAGACUCCUACGGGAGGCAGCAGUAGGGAAUCUUCCGCAAUGGGCGAAAGCCUGACGGAGCAACGCCGCGUGAGUGAUGAGGGUCUUCGGAUCGUAAAACUCUGUUAUUAGGGAAGAACAAAUGUGUAAGUAACUAUGCACGUCUUGACGGUACCUAAUCAGAAAGCCACGGCUAACUACGU
rnacentral:rRNA from 1 species